rnacentral:misc_RNA from 1 species
AACCUAGCACACCUGCGGUGUGUACCUGCGGAGGGAUCAUCAUCAAAUUCAUAUCCCCGGAGGGGGACCAUGAUAAACCCUUGUGUGCACCGUAACCGUUCACUUUGGCUGGCUUUGGUGAUGAGCGCGAGCUCGCCUUCAACUUCGCGUUCCCUCCUCCCUAAGGGGUGGCGGCCUGCCGAAGUCCUCCCAUUAAAAACACGUUUUCGAACACGUCUGAAAAUUUCCUUUGAGAAAUCA